rnacentral:rRNA from 1 species
GAUCAUGGCUCAGGAUGAACGCUGGCGGCGUGCCUAACACAUGCAAGUCGAACGAAGCAAUUUAACGGAAGUUUUCGGACGGAAGUUGAAUUGACUGAGUGGCGGACGGGUGAGUAACGCGUGGGUAACCUGCCUUGUACUGGGGGACAACAGUUAGAAAUGACUGCUAAUACCGCAUAAGCGCACAGUAUCGCAUGAUACAGUGUGAAAAACUCCGGUGGUACAAGAUGGACCCGCGU